rnacentral:rRNA from 1 species
UACGAAGGUAGCAAGCGUUGUUCGGAUUUAUUGGGCGUAAAGGGCGCGUAGGCGGUGAUGUAAGUGAGAUGUGUAAUCCCCGAGCUUAACUUGGGAACUGCAUCUCAGACUGCAUCGCUAGAGUGCUGGAGAGGGUGGUAGAAUUCCACGUGUAGCGGUGAAAUGCGUAGAGAUGUGGAGGAAUACCAGUGGCGAAGGCGGCCACCUGGACAGUAACUGACGCUGAGGCGCGAAAGUGUGGGUAGCAAACAGG